rnacentral:rRNA from 1 species
UACGUAGGGGGGCGAGCGUUAUCCGGAAUUACUGGGCGUAAAGCGCACGCAGGCGGUUCGCCAAGUUUGGAGUGACAGUUGUCGGCUCAACCGACAAAGGACUUCAAAAACUGGUGAACUUGAGGACGAGAGAGGAACAUGGAACUCCAGGUGUAGUAGUGAAAUGCGUAGAUAUCUGGAAGAACACCAAUGGCGAAGGCAAUGUUCUGGCUCGUUUCUGACGCUCAGGUGCGAAAGCCAGGGGAGC